rnacentral:rRNA from 1 species
AUGGCGUCGGCAUCUCCGCCUCCCCCCACCGCCGGCGCGCGGCCCAAUCCCAGCAUACCCUCCUCCUCGUCCCCCUCCUUCUCCGCCGUCUCCCCCCGCGGCCCCAUCUCCCUCUGCGGCGCCUCGAGGGCUUCCUCCGUCUCCGUCCAGCAACGGCAGGCACCCCCUCUCGCCGGAAGGUCGCGCCUACCAGGCCUCAUCCGCUGCUCUGAUGCCUCCGGCGAGGGAAACCAAACUAAAAGAAAAGACUGGAUUAAGGUUGGCUCAUUUGGGGAGACACGACUGUUUGCUAAUGUACUCAAGAAGCAGAGGGCCUCACCAAAGUUGCUAGAACAAUUGAAGAGAUAUGGUGCUGCUGGAGUUUUGUCAUAUGGACUACUUAAUACUGUGUAUUAUGUUACCACCUUUUUAUUAGUUUGGUUCCAUUUUUCGCCUGCUCCUGGUAGGAUGGGCUAUGCUGCAGCAGUGGAGAGGUUCCUUAAAUUAAUGGCAAUGGUGUGGGCUGGCAGUCAGGUUACUAAAAUUCUUCGCGCAGGAGGAGCCCUUGCACUUGCUCCUCUUGUUGAUAGAGGACUGAGAUGGUUCACUGUGAAGUUCAACUUCCAGUCAGAAGGAAAGGCAUUUGCGACGAUCGUAGGGUUAUGCUUUGCACGUGCUGCGCUUAUGUUCGUUGGAUUGACAGUACUUUGGGCAUAG